ensembl:lincRNA
UUGACUAAAUUAAGCUUCAAGUGCUUUUGGAAGGAAGAAUAUGUGAGAUAUCUAAGAAAAGUUGAUAAAAUGUUAUCUUCUUUGAUAAUAGAAUGACCGAUCGUUGACUGUUUUUUUUUCCCUUCUUUUGAAUGACAGAGAAAUGCCAGCUCCCCGUAAACAUGAGAAAGCCCAGAUGAAACAAAUAAGGUGCUUCACAUUCUGCCUCUCAGCCACAUGCUCUGGGCAAGAGAUUCUAAUUCUUCAGAAUAGCCACUUCCCAAGUUCAAAUGGGGCCAUCCUUCUUCUCUGGCACUGGCAGUGAGUGCUGGGGCAGUCUGUAUCAUGUUAUGGCAAAUUACCUUGAGGUCACAAGCCAAUUUUUUGUUCCUAUAGAAACAUUGACUGUGAGAAGAUAAUGGCCAAUGUGUUUUAAGCACUUUGUAUUUGCAAGGGACUGCUCUAAGUACUUGAUAAACAUCAACUUCUUUAAUCCUCACAACUCUAUGAGGUAGGGAUAAUUAGCAUCAUUUUCCAGGUAAGGAAACUGAGGCCCAGAGAUGUUAAGUCAUCCAGACAGUAAAUGGUUGUGUCAGGAUUAAAGCACAAGCAACUUCAUUCUUGACCAUUACCCUCUGAAGAAAGGGCUAAGGUGGAGAGUGUGGCUCUGGGGCAGGGCAACUCUAAACAGGAAACAUGCUCCUUCACAAAUGUGCUGGAUUCUACCUCUUUCAGCCAGUGCUAUAUUGAACUGUUCCUGAAAUCACUCCAAACAACUGCCAAUGGUGUUUGCAUCUCUUCCUAUCCCCAGUUCCCACAAUCCCCAGCAGGGGUGUGUUGCUGGUGCCCACAGCCUUUCCUCUUCACCUCGGUAAUAUCAGCUAAAAGACUCUGAGGAAGGCCUAGGUCAGAGAAGGAGUAAGAUCUGCUAUCGACAUGUCCUGAAAGCCUUCCUUUUUGGUAACUGUCAGCUAAAAGAAUCAUCCCGGCAGUAUCAUCUGGAAACUCGUCCAGCUUGUUUUUUGGCCACCACUCAGACUAGGAAGCCAAAAGUGUCACACGGUCAAAAAUGCUUCCAUCUACUGGUGGAACUCAGGAAUACACUAACAUUUCCCUGCCUGAAAUGGUUAGUUGAGGACACAAAGCAACCCAAAGCGAGCGGAGCUUGGCCAUGGAGCUCAGAAAUUCAAAACAGUCAGUUCUUGCUGAUGGUGAAGGAUUGUGGAAUGGAAGGGAAAAUUCCAGAAAAAUAUUCUGGCAAAGCGGACUUGAAUGGAUGGUUCUCCAGUACUUUAUUUAUUUGGCCAAAAGAUGAGGGAAAAAAGCAAAAAAGGAGGCAAAGAAUAGGUAAUAUAGGAAUAAACUUCUCCUAGCCAUUUUUGGCCAUUUUAGGCAAAUAUUCCCUACUUAGUCUCACUAUUAAACUCAAUUAUACAAUGUAUUUGCAUUAAACUAAUUUUAGCAAGCGAUAGUAAGUUUUUAGAAGACUCAGCUUUCAAAGAGGAGUUUUCUUAAUGGACAUAUUUUUAAACAGAUUUCUUGAAUUCAUAGCUUUCUCUCCAGAAUCUCUGACAGAUGAGAGAGCCUCUGAAAGAAUUGUAUGGAAAGGAACAAAGCUCACACAAAGAAUUUAUCAAUUCAGCGAAUGCAGUUAUGACUGCAGCUGACUUUCUUCAAAAUGACAUACUGCAUGAGCACAUAGACUCAAAAGCAUCCUUUUCUACUGAAGGCCUACAGCAGGCUCACAGGCAGUAAGCAAGACAAAAAAGAAACUCAGGGGGACCAAUGAGAUUCCAAAGGGCAAAACUCCCA